rnacentral:ncRNA from 2 species
CAGGUAUUGUAAGGUGCUUGGCCGGGUGCAGACUUGUACCCGGAAGGAAGUGGGUGGAAUUCCCAAACUGUGCCGCAACCGUGAAUCUUGUCGAAAGCCCGCCUACGCGAAGCUUCGGCGAGGUAAGUCGGAAAACUAACAAUCUCUAGCCGACAGGU